rnacentral:lncRNA from 1 species
GUAGAUUUUUGCCUAGUACAGAUGUAAAUGAUUUCUAUCCAGUAGAGGAGAUAACUCCAAAGCUUAGAGUUUUAAUGCUCUGUAGUGCGUUAAUUAGUUUCAUCUGGGUGGUUUCUAAACAAUAGACAUUUCUUUCUAUUUCUUUCUAGUUCCAGCCUACAGUUCUGAAAACCAGAAGUCCAAGAUCAGGCUGCCAGCAUGGAGGGGUUCUGGUAACCUCAAAGGCAACCUGUUCAAAGAUUCAUCAUCUGUAAACACAGCCUGAAUGCGCUCUUCUUCCAGUGUUCCCUGUAUCUCCGGGAAUGGCCUCAGCAACCUCCCAGAACUUCUCCUCGACGCCUGUCUCUUCCGCAGCAUCCGUCCAAUGCGGUACCAAGUUCCGUCUAUCCUAUUACCUCAGGACAGACACAUUUGUCAACCGCAAUCAUUUAUUAUCCAUUUUUGCAUUUAUUCAAUGCUUUUUUAUGCCAGAACCUGUCCUGGGUGCUGGGGAAAUAAAGAAAAAC